UACGUAGGGGGCAAGCGUUGUCCGGAAUUACUGGGCGUAAAGGGCGCGUAGGCGGCCUUCUAAGUCGAACGUGAAAUCCCCGGGCUCAACCCGGGAACUGCGUCCGAUACUGGAAGGCUUGAAUCCGGGAGAGGGAUGCGGAAUUCCAGGUGUAGCGGUGAAAUUCGUAGAUAUUCGGAAGAACACCAGUGGCGAAGGCGACUCACUGGACAUGUAUUGACGCUGAGGUGCGAAAGCGUGGGGAGCAAACAGG
rnacentral:rRNA from 1 species